CUCUAAAAGCCAGUGCGUGUGUGCCUCAGUCGAUUCUUAACUAAGGGGCCCUCUCACCACCCCCCCCACCCUUGACUGUCACCUUUAAUCGAUCAGGACACGCACACACACACACACACACGUACUUGCCUUCGCCUUUCACGACCCCCGUGUGCGACGUGGUCCGCGGGCUUGAUAGCGGCCACGAUGAUCGCGUGUGCGGCAUUACAACGGCUGGAGCGGUACGGCUCUCUCGGGCUGAAGCGACACAGCACAGAGGAUUUUGUGAGUGCGUCGCUCAAGGACGCGCGACGAGCGAACAUCUAUGCCCUGACCCUACUGAGCACGUGGAAGGAGGCGCUGCAGGCCGUCCGCGGCGGGGACGCCAACGGUGUCGCAGAUGUGUCGAAGGCACCAGCUCGCUACACAGACGCGCUCGUCUACGCUGUCAGCUUCGCGGUGGUCCUCACCACACAGCACUUGUUUGAAGUCAGCACCGCCACAGCUGCUUGUCUUGUCUUCACGGACGCCUAUGCCCAGGCACUGGAGCUCUUGACACUGCUGAAGGAGAUGACGGUAGCGAUGGGAAGCGGCGGUGCUCUGCGGAGCAACGCCUCAUCGGACGACUUUACGAAGGCGGUGGCACAUCUUCUCACGAGCUGCACGGACCUCGCCCUCUUACUGCUGGGCGGCAUCUCCACCUCCUCUGGCGCCGCUACACAGGAAGUACAGGAGUCGCAACCGGGCAGCAGCAGCGCGGAGCAGCAGCAGCAACAGCGGGAGUCGAUCCUCGCGCAGGCGCUCGUGUUGGUGGCUGCGACGGCGCAGAUGCUGCGACGCGUGCAGGCAAGCUAUCCCAUCAACGGCCUUUACCACACCCGCCCCUGCGCUGCGCUGCUGAAGGCUGUUGCGAACAAGCACAAGCAACUCCAACAGCGGCUCACGCAUGUCAGCGACAGCAGCGACGCUGCCACAGAGCAGACCCGGCGCGCUGCGCCGAACGCAUGCAGUGAAACUGCGAAGGGCGCAACGGGGCAUCAGACAACGGCGACGCGUGUGCCGGCGCUGCUGGAUGUGCUUCAUCGCUACAUCCAGCUGUGUGCGCGGCGCUCAAUCGCAGGAAGUCAGCAACAGUCAGCGGCCGCCCCAUCCGCCAGCGCGUCGGCCGCCAGUCUCUUUUCCAUCUUUUCCCUCUUCCAGCGCCUUGGCAUGCUGCACGGCGCGCUCGGCGCCGCCACAGCCCUUCCGAAAGGGCUCACGGCGCAGCUCUGCAGUGCCUGCGAAGACGUGCAGUACUGGCUGAGCCAGCUCCUGUCCAGCACCGCGUGCAACCGUGCGACUCGCUACGUCGUGUACUUCCGUGAGGACGAGCUGCGACUGAUGCAGCACAAUAUUCGCCAGGCCUCCGAGUACGCGUUGUACACCUUCGCCACUACGCCGCCGGUCGACCCGGGGCUUGUGGAGCCGCUGCUGAAGGACGGCGUUGCUGCCGACAGCAACGACGAGGCCACGCGUGCGCGCGCGGCUCUCGUGCUUGCGCAGUGGUGCGUGAGCGCACCCUUCUUUUUCGAGAGCUUCUGCCAAGGUGAAUCGUGGUCCUCCUUCGCGCAGGAGCAGCGGCGGCUUGUGCUGCUGCAGCAGUCCCGCGCGCGCCGCGGACUCGAGAGGGCGUCGCGUCGGCAGCAGCGGAAAGAGGGGGCAAAGAAAACGGCGAUGCAUCUGAACGAAGAGCACGGCAGUCGGUCUUCCUCGGUGUCCUGCGACUCCAGUGAUGCCGCCUCAGCGCACAGCAGUGGCUCCGACUCCGCGUCCUCGGCUGGCGGCCGCCAGCAGCGGCAGCGCGGCAGCGGCAGCGGUGAUGCCGAAACGGCAUCUCUUUUGUCCCUCCAAACGGCGAGCCACGCGAACCACGCUGGCGGCAGCACUUGCGGCAGUGUGACGUCACUCGCCAGCCGUGUGUCGCUUCUCUCGACGCUCUCCAAGCACUCGGCGGCCUCCUACCUUUCCUUCAUCUCCGUACUUCGGCCGUCGAUCACCGCCGGCUCAGCGGCGGGUGGUGCUGGCGCCGGUGGUAGCGCUGACGGCGAUGACGAAGCUGGCGCAGAUCGACAGAUGCACGAGUCUGAGGAUGGCAACACAAACCUUCCUCUCAUCCUGCUCGAGCAGCUCGCUCUGGGUCUUCACCGCUUCAUGGAGGCCUACCCGGCAGAGCUGCUAGACCGCUACGGGCUGCGCAGCGUAUCGUGGAGCAGCAUCGCACGCAUGUUCGCCACUGUAGAGAAGUCUCUCGUGAACACGACGAAGAUGACAGCAGGGGCGGCAGCACAACGUCAGGCCAAUCGCUUUCCCAACGAUCACGAACUGCCGCAGCCGCUCUUCAACCUCGCGCAAGACAUCCGCUACAACAAGGGGAUGGGCUAUGAGUGCCUGGGCUUGCUGUUUGCGAAGGUAGUGGCCCCGCUGCUGGACCCCACGUCAUCGCGUGCGAUCGAGUCGACAUCAUGGUCUCCACCGCAGCAGCAUCGACUUCCCAGAUCCACAGGCGAGGCAACGGGGACCGAGGACGACGACGGCAGCGAGACGGGCAGCGGCAGCGGUGCCCAUAGCGACGGCGACCGCACCGAAGAAGGGGUUUUCGUCAACGCCGCCGCCGCCGCAGCCACCGUGGGACGCGCGGUGCUGACCAUCGACGACGACCCCACGACACGCGCCUCCGUGGAGGCGGCCCUGUCGAGGUGCUUGACGGCGUACGAGACGGUGGCGCCGCAGGUGGUGGACAUGAACCUACCCACCAUCCUCCGCCUUGCUGCGCGCACCGCGGCCACAUCAGCGGGGUCGGCCACCUCACUUCGCUCCUCCGCGUCGCCCUCGUCUCUGUCGAUUGUGUUGGUGGACUUUGUGCGCGACAUUACGGCUCGUCUAGGCCGCGGCAACGACCUGCCGCACCUUGUCGAUGCCCUACUCCUGCGGGGCGACUUCGCUGCUAACGCGAGCGCCGCGGCCGCCGCCUCUUCGGUCGUGGACGACAGCGGCGAUCCGGCGUCCGCUAUCCGCUCGCUGCGUGCGGUCUUUUCGCUUCCCCCGGUGCGGCAGGCGGUUAUGGAAGCCGCCGGGGCGUCACUGGACCCAGAAAGCCUUCUGCAGCGGCUGAGCGGCGUCGCGGCGGAGCUCGAGGAAGGCAACAAGGGCAGCAACAGCAGCAGCGCUCACGAUGAGGAGCAGGUCAAACCGUCGUCCGCUGCAAGGCCUUGCCGGAAGAGGCACGAUGACGCUCGGCUGCAGCGCAUGCUUCUGGCUCUGGAACUCAUGGAAGCGCUUCUCGCUGGGGUCACACCGACGUGCGUCUCUGCGGGUGCAGUGCUGGAGCACACAACGCAACUGGAGCUGUUUCUCAACUCAUCGUUCAUGGCUGCGGUGGAGGAGCUGAAGGGCGUUUGCGGUGACGCGUUGGACGACAGGCGUGCGCUCAUGAUCCAGCACAUGUACACGAUCCGCCAGUGUCGUGCCGUGACAAUCCUUUGCCUGCAGGACCUCGGCACGCAGCAGGUGCACGACUACCUGCGCAUGCUCGAGGAUGCGCUGUGGCAGCUCACGAGUCACGUGGGCAGCCUCGUCGGAUCGCUGACACUGGCGGACUUGCAGCCGUUGCUGCGGUCACAUUCAGCGCGGUAUGGCGGCAGCGAAGUCCUUGCGCCGUCGCCGUCGGCGCUGGAACAGCUGCCGGUGCAGCUCCUGCCUUCGUCGCUCAUCCUGCAGCGCCUGUCGCUAGCGCGCGCAGUGACCGUCGCCCUCGGAACCCACGCAGGGCCCGCAGAGGAGCUCCGUGACAUGGUGUCGCACCUGUGGGACUGCCUCGGACAGGACGGGCACGACGCAGAUGAGGCAGCAGCGCCGCAGCAGCGGCGGUCGGGCGGGGUGUCGCUCUGGUUGGCGAAUCAGAUGACUGCCGAGGAGUGGGCCAGCUUGGUGGCGCUCGGCAAGGAGAAGCAUGCGCGCUCCUCGAUGAUGGCGCUCCUUCUGCGCUCCGCCGCCUUAACUUCCGCAGCGACAACAGAGACGCCGGCGUGGUUGUCGAGGUGUCUGCAGUGCAUCCCUGGAACGGUGCUGCGCGCACUCGUCGACGCAUUCGUGUCGCUCUCCGUUGAAGAUUUCUGCGAUGCGUCCCUCGCGAACGCAUCGUCGUCGUCCGCACGUCGGCGGCUCGAGCUGGCACAGCGGCAGUGGAUGGCCCUCACGACAUCGCUCGUCGCAGCGUACGCGGUGGUGGGCCACAACCCGUACUGGCCCUCGGUUGUCGCGCACACGGUGCGCUCAGUGACGCAUGUGGCGCGGGUGUGGCGGAAUCACGCGAAGGGGCGGCUUGGCUGGGCUGUCGAAACACCUGCCCAGGCCCCUCACGACUCUACCGCGGCGCACAUGUUUGCGCUGCUCACGCGACAGCUCAUCUCGCUGCUGCUGUGUACGCUGCGUAGUGAGCCACGCGCCGUAGAGGUGCUCCGCCGGGUGCUGUCGACGUUAGCGAGGGAGUCGGCGGUCGCGCCUUCAUCGGCAGCAGGGCCAUCUGUCCCAGUGCUGUCGCGCAGCGGCAUGUCCGUGGCCUACUUAAAAGCACUGACGGUGCCGGCAGCGUCACUCGGUGACCUGAGUGCGCCAACCAUGCUGACGACGUCCGACCCCACCACCGCCGCCGAUGGAGGAGGGACGGUCGAGGUGGUUGCCGCCUUGAAGGAGUUGACGUUCGAGGAUGAAGUGCGCGACGUGUGCACCGAACUCUUCGCCGCGUCCUUCGUGAAGCGCAUCUUCACUGUGACGGACCUGUGCAGUGACGGCGCGGCGGCGGCCAUGUCGGUGCCCUUGGCUACGGUCACUGUUGCCCUGCGUGCUAGCAUGAUGACGCUCGCGCUGCUCUACCAGGUCUGUGUGGCUGCCGUGCAGGCAUCGUGGCGGGCCAAGGCAACCAACGGCAGCCUGGAGGCGCUGGUGCAGACGCCAGCGGUCGUGUUCCUGCACACCGUCGUCAGUAGCUUUCACGCACGCGGCGCUGCGAGAGUGUCAAGCAGCGGCGCCUCCUCCGAUACGGCAGUCGAUGUCGUGUUGGCGGCGUUUCUCGAGCAGUUCCGCGCUCAUGACGAGGAGCACUCAGAGCAGCACUUGUUCGUCCACAUCGCAUCUGGCGCCUCAUCUGGCGAGAAGCGGCGCAGAACGCGCGACAGGACAGACGCCGGCGCUGGUGACACAGACUGCGCUGCCGGUGACCCUUCCCCCCUUCGGACGGCGAUCAUUGCGCCGUCAAGUGCUCUCGAGACGGUGGAGGAGCUGUGGCGUGACCAACUGCGAUGGACGGCGUGUACGGUGAUGCGUCUCAGCCACGCAGCCGACAGUGAGCCCAGCUCGUGCGCCACCGCGCUGCAGAGGGCGUGUCUCACGUUUCGCCAGCUCUUCGCGUGUAUGUGGUCGAGUGCUCACUUUCGGAAGCACCAGGUGCCCAAGGGUGUGGGCGGUCGUACCGGUGGCGGCGGCGGUGACGCGAGACGCGCUCGCAGCAACGGCGACAGCGAGCCGAAAGCGCGCCAGAGCCGUCUCGCGGGGGAUGUCGACGCAUUCCUCGCUGCAGUGCUCGGUCGCCCGCACGCGCCUGGGGAUGGCAGCAGCGACCGAGUCAGACGUGUAACAGGCAACGAGCUGCGCUAUCAGCUGGCGGACUUCUUUGGGGUGCCGGCGACAGCGACGGACGGAGCGGCGCGUGGUGUUGAACGCUCGCGCCACCCGUGUGACCGAAUAUGGAUGCGGCUGUCGAGUGUUGGAGGUGAGGCAGGCGUCUGUGCACUGUGGCUCUUGUGGAAGCUUCAGUGCGUUUCGGCCGCCCUCACUGACCGGCCUGCGACGGCCGAUGGCGUCAAGGACGACUCGCAGACGCGCAUGAGGACGUUCCUGUGCGCCUACUACGACUUGAACGCCAGCGUCGAAGGCGAUGCAGCGACAGCUGCCACCACCUCUACCGCUUACACCCGCCUGGUGGCGUCGCUGCGGGCGUCACCAGUUGCGCUCCGCAUUCUACCUGCUGAGGAGGCGCCGCCGCUCUUGCAUGAACACGUCCAAGCGCUGCUGACGCGCACUAUUCCAGGAGCGUCGCCUCGUGCGAGCGCUGCCGCGAGCUCGUUCGCGUUGGUAGCUCCUGCAGCGGCGGAGGUGAUCGUGCACUUGUUUUCUGUCCGCCCACGUUUGCCAGGUGGGCAGCUGCUGCCACACGCGCAGCACCUGCUCGUGUGGCUCACGCACGCAUCCUCUGCAGCCGCGUCGCUGGCAGCAGCGGGGGUGCACGGCGUGGCGGGUCCGUCCCUACCCUCACUUUGCAUCCGCGUCUGCGCCGCCGUUGCCGCGCACCCCGCCGUAUCAAGCGCGUCAGACUCGUCUGCGUUGAUUGCCACGUGGGCAUCGCCGCUGCCGCCGCAUCAGAAGCAACUGGGCGCGUGCCGCAGUGGCUGGCAGCUUCGCAACGGCAGCAGCGCUGCACAGGAGCUGCUCGACAAUGUGUGGCUGCUGCUACUCUCCCUCUUGGAAGGAUCCCGAGCGCCGCAGAGCGCUACCGCUGCUGCGUCGUCGGCGCCGCUGCUGCGCGAAAGGGAGGUGGUUCAGAUGAUCCUGCUGCUCACGAAGACCUGGCUAGGGCACUCGGCGCGCCAGCAGGUGCUGUGGUCCCGCCCUGCUAUGCUGCCGCCGCUGAUGUGCGCGCUGUUUACGUGUGUAAUGCGUGGAAUGGAGUCGCAGCAGUUCUCGCCGCGCGUGCUGAACGUGCUGGCGAGUGGGCUGGCGGCGAUGGCGGCGCACGUGGACGCGGCAACUGCGAACGAGGGCGAUGCGGAUGUCGACAGCGUUGACGGCGACGAAGACGAGGGCGAGGGUGUUGGCGAAAGGAAAGCCGAGGGGUCGGCUAGCAGCGCGCCAGCCACAACAAGCGAGGAGCGCCGCCGCCCGCAGAAGCGCCGACUCGAGGCCGGCACUGAAGCGUGGGCGGCGGGUGCCGCCAUCCCCGCGCACGUCAAGCGAGCCGCCCUCGCCGCCGUCACGUCGGCGCUCUUCGAGGUCGCGCACCACUACAUUCACAUCUUCACCGCCUUCAGCAGCGACAUGGACUUCCUCUUCACAGACUUCCUAAAGGUGCUCAGCCAACACUUCCUGCCAACCGUGACGCGGCCGCCCAUCGCCCAUCGCGUCGGCGUGCGCAUCGGCGGCACGGUGCGGUCGGACAUGUCGUUUGCUGACCUCGCUUACAUGUGCGUCGGCAAUGCGGAAAGCAAGUCGCUGCUCAAGCAGGCGGCGCUGCGCAUGGAGGAGGAGGGCGUGAUGGACAGCGGCAGUGCCGGGGGUGGUACGGCUGGCGAAGGUGAACGUGGGCCAGCGCUGACGGACGGCAGCCGAAGCAUCUUCCGGGUGGCGUAGCCGGUGCGCCUCUCUCUGCGAGGCCGCCGUCGUCUGCUAGCCGUGUCGCUGCCGGGAGUGUUUCGGGCAGUGUUGGUUUCCUUCUUGACCGAUCUCUCUUUCUCUUCUCCGUAUGGUGCGCUAAAUAAGGAAGGGACAAGGGGAAGAAAGGCUGCGGCGGUGAUGGUGGUGGGUGGGCGGCAGCGGCGGCGGCGUGGUGAUGACUGGUUCACGGAUGCCGUUGCCCGUGUCUUCCGUCGCCUCAUCCCCGCCUUCUUCCCGUCUCCACGGCACCUCGCCCCUCUUCGCGCCUGUGCCCAACCGAAUGAACUCUCUAAUCCUCCCCCUCCGUAAUGGUCUUCGGUGAAACGGCAGACACGCUCUGUUUGGGGUGUGUUGGGGGGGGGGGAUUGUCCCGGUUUUGGCUGGUGACGGACGUCUCUGUCGGUUCGGGCGCUGCAGUGCGCCUCCUUCUGUCUCGCUCUUCCAGAUGUCCCGUG
rnacentral:misc_RNA from 1 species